CAAAAGGUGACAGGUCACUUUGCCAGAAGUUGAUGAGUACUUUAAAAGUACUCAUCAGUGAAUCAAAAAGAAGUGACACCUGUUUGAGUACUGCUCACAGUAGGUGCGAAGAUAAUCUUCUUACGUAGUGUUAAAGCAUCCCCCAUUGUUUUAAUCUAUGAUCCAGAUCACAAGGAUUAGUGACACUGCAGGAAACAAAGGAGAAUUAAAGCCACCCAUGAUGAUUCAGGUUUACUUAUCCUCAGCAUUCUUGUCAAUAUGGGGUAGGCCAAUCUUUUCACCUUUUAUGCAACAUUGAUUCAUUCAAAGGCAUCUUCAAGAUCCUUGUCAACCAUGAUGCAAGCCAAGUGCUGACAUUCACCUUUCGUAAAACACAAGUACAUAUCCUCUCCAUUCCUCCCAUGAGUACAACAGAAGACAACAUUUUGGGGUGACUAGAGACAGAUAAAUCCAUCAUCUGCAAUUAAUCCUGCCAUC